GGAGCUGCGGCUCAGUGGCAGAGCAUCUGCUUUGCAUGCAGAUGGCCCCGGGUUCAAUUCCCGGCAUCUCCA